rnacentral:rRNA from 1 species
UACGGGGGGAGCAAGCGUUGUUCGGAUUUACUGGGCGUAAAGGGCGCGUAGGCGGCCACCGCAAGUCAAUUGUGAAAUCUCCGGGCUUAACUCGGAAAGGUCAACUGAUACUGCGGGGCUAGAGUGCGGAAGGGGCAACUGGAAUUCUCGGUGUAGCGGUGAAAUGCGUAGACAUCGAGAGGAACACCUGCGGCGAAGGCGCCACUCUGGGCCGAAACUGACGCUGAGGAGCGAAAGCAUGGGUAGCAAACAGG